rnacentral:rRNA from 1 species
UACAGAGGUGCCGAGCGUUAGGCGGAAUCACUGGGCUUAAAGGGUGCGCAGGCGGGAGAUUAAGUCAGGGGUGAAAGACGGUUGCUCAACAAUCGCAGUGCCUUUGAUACUGGUUUUCUUGGGUGACCUUGAGGUAGGCGGAAUGGGGGGUGUAGCGGUGAAAUGCAUAGAUACCCCCCAGAACUCCGAUUGCGAAGGCAGCCUACUGGAGGUUCACCGACGCUCAGGCACGAAAGCGUGGGGAUCAAACAGG